rnacentral:rRNA from 1 species
CCUGAACGCUGUCGGCGUGACUAAGACAUGCAAGUCGUACGGUGUAACAAUACACAGUGGCGCACGGGUGAGUAAUGUAUCGCUAAUGUACCCCGAACUCUGGGAUAGCCAGUCGAAAGAUUGGGUAAUACCAGAUGAGACCACGACCUGGCAUCAGGUUGUGCUCAAAGGUUCGCCGGUUUGGGAUCAGGCGAUAUGGUAUCAGGUAGUUGGUGAGGUAACGGCUCACCAAGCCUUCGACGCCUAGCCGGACUGAGAGGUCGGACGGCCACAUCGGGACUGAGACACUGCCCGGAUCCUACGGGGGGCUGCAGUAAUGAAUCUUCCGCAAUGCACGAAAGUGUGACGGAGCGACGCCGAGUGAAGGAUGAAGUUCUUCGGAAUGUAAACUUCUAAAAUCUGUUAGAAAGUUCUGAUCAGCAGACUAUAAGUGGCGACUAACUCUGUG